rnacentral:rRNA from 1 species
GUGGGGAAUAUUGGACAAUGGGCGAAAGCCUGAUCCAGCCAUGCCGCGUGUGUGAAGAAGGUCUUCGGAUUGUAAAGCACUUUAAGUUGGGAGGAAGGGCAGUAAGUUAAUACCUUGCUGUUUUGACGUUACCGACAGAAUAAGCACCGGCUAACUUCGUGCCAGCAGCCGCGGUAAUACGAAGGGUGCAAGCGUUAAUCGGAAUUACUGGGCGUAAAGCGCGCGUAGGUGGUUUUGUAAGUUGGAGGUGAAAUCCCCGGGCUCAACCUGGGAACUGCCUCCAAAACUGCAUGACUAGAGUACGGUAGAGGGUAGUGGAAUUUCCUGUGUAGCGGUGAAAUGCGUAGAUAUAGGAAGGAACACCAGUGGCGAAGGCGACUACCUGGACUGAAACUGACACUGAGGUGCGAAAGCGUGGGGAGCAAACAGGAUUAGAAACCCCGGUAGUCC